rnacentral:lncRNA from 7 species
GGACAGUGCCUUUGGUUACGUUCCCAGGAAUGUAACAGUGUUCUUCUCUGCGCUUGCCUGAGCUGGAUGUGAAGAACAGUGUGCAACAGAAUGCUUAGACCUUCCUUGUACUACCUUGCACAGGCAAACAACAGAUUUAAAGGACAGAUGGAGCUGAAGGUUACCUCACUGAUUCCGUCAACUGAGGCAGCUCCACGUCUCAUCAUCGCUGCUCGCUAAGACAAGCAUCCAGAAGCUAUUCACAUUCAGCAUCGGGAAUAUUCAAGGCCUGCCUUCGCCGAGGGUGAAGCAAAAAGGAUAAAUAACCCGAGCCGUUAUUUCUGAAGCCCAAGCGCCUUUCAUUAGCUGCAGAGGAGUAUUUGGAGAGAAAUUAAAUUUAGAAGCCAACUGCAAAACAGACUGCCCGCACUUGCAUAGGAACUCUCUUCUGGUGGCGUUGCAGAGAUGUUUACAUGCUAAUGGGCGCAGUUACUGGGAAGAGCCCUGCUGCUAGCUCCUUUUCUCCACGGGCUGAAAACAAUGGUCACUAAUGAAAACCUAGACAGCUUUAUCGAGACCCGUGCCCGCAUACAUGAAUUUUUUAAAGUUGCCGCCUCUUCCUAAUAAAGCAGCCCGUUUGUUUGCUUUCUAAGUAGCCUCAUAUCUGGUUUAACGCUGAAUUACCGCAGACAAUUUAAGAGGAUUAAUUUCAAUUUCCACUUGGUGGUCUUAACGGCACAAUCGCUGCAAACUUAUCUUCCUUCCUAGGCCCUGCGCUGCCUAGUGGCAUCUUUUUUUUUCCGUGAGAGCCAAAUCUAAAUGGGCAAAGAAAAAAAACCCACAGCCAACCAGAGUAGUCAGAUACAAGCAGCGACAAAAGCAUCUGACACGCAGCACCGCUAAACUGCAUCCACACCAAGCAAAAAGAAAGCGAAUAAGAUUAUCCUCAAUGUAUUCAAUACUGUUUGUGCUCAGAGGGAGGAGGAGGGCCGCUUGGAUUUUGAGUGCGUCUUCUUGCAGCUCUCUCAGUGCCAGGAAACGUAAAUUAGGAGCAACUCUCCUUUAAGGAAAAGAAGCAAGGACAAAGGGACCAAAAAUGCCCAAGCCUCUGCAAAGCAAAUAUGAAAGGCACAGCUUUACAGUCCUGAGUUGCUAUAAAUUAAAAAUAAGCUCCUUAU